UACGUAGGCAGCGAGCGUUGUUCGGAGUUACUGGGCGUAAAGGGUGUGUAGGCGGUUGUUUAAGUUUGGUGUGAAAUCUCCCGGCUCAACUGGGAGGGUGCGCCGAAUACUGAAUGACUUCGAGUGCGGGAGAGGAAAGUGGAAUUCCUGGUGUAGCGGUGAAAUGCGUAGAUAUCAGGAAGAACACCCGUGGCGAAGGCGGCUCUCUGGAACGCAACUGACGCUGAGACGCGAAAGCGUGGGGAGCAAACAGG
rnacentral:rRNA from 1 species